GCAGUCGUGGCCUGGUGGUUAAGCCGAUGAACUAGAAAUCCAUUGGGGUCUCCCCGCACACGCGCAGGUUCGAAUCCUGUCGACUGCG
rnacentral:tRNA from 2 species